UGGGGAAUCUUCCGCAAUGGACGAAAGUCUGACGGAGCAACGCCGCGUGUAUGAUGAAGGUCUUCGGAUUGUAAAGUACUGUCAUUGGGGAAGAACGGUUUUCUUGAAAAGAUUGAGAAGACAUGACGGUACCCAAGGAGGAAGCCCCGGCUAACUACGUGCCAGCAGCCGCGGUAAUACGUAGGGGGCAAGCGUUGUCCGGAAUUAUUGGGCGUAAAGGGCGCGUAGGCGGGCCUUUAAGUCCGGUGUGAAAGAUCAGGGCUCAACCCUGAGAGUGCAUCGGAAACUGGAGGCCUUGAGGACAGGAGAGGAAAGUGGAAUUCCACGUGUAGCGGUGAAAUGCGUAGAUAUGUGGAGGAACACCAGUGGCGAAAGGCGACUUUCUGGACUGUAACUGACGCUGAGGCGCGAAAGCGUGGGUAGCAAACAGGAUUAGAUACCCUGGUAGUCCACGCCGUAAAACGAUGAGUACUAGGUGUAGGAGGUAUCGACCCCUUCUGUGCCGCAGUUAACACAAUAAGUACUCCGCCUGGGAAGUACGAUCGC
rnacentral:rRNA from 1 species